UGAGUCAUCGUUGAGGAGGUUCCCCUGACUUUCCGAGUCAGAAUUCUGACUUUGGGGGCGUUCCGGCUGAAAUCGCUGACUAGGAACUCAGAAUUCCUGACUUCCGAGUUCAAAUGGAACAUUUGGUACACCUAAGGUACACCGGGUUAAAUGGCCUUUAUCUUCGUUCAUUUACAUUCGGCCCGGGCUACCUUAAAUCUGACCAGUUAUCCAGCUAAACUAGAAAUCCCGCUUUCUGAAACAGGCCCCAGUACUGACCUGGUUGAUUGUUAGCCACUGUUAGCAAUAUCAGCUCAUAGCAACAUAUUACGUGGCAUUUUGGGCAUUAAAACACUGCAGUCCACAGACAGCGGUUGGGCUGUACUGUGUGUACAACCGAUUUAAUGAGCCACAAACAAGACAGAGGUGCUAAUAAACUGUAUAAAACUACAGCUUUAACUUCUUUUAUUCCCUGCCUUGUGACUAAAGCAUUGCUGGGGAAUCACAUGCAUUGAGUUUCAUUAUAACUUGUCCCAGUGACAGUAAUGGCAUUUUAUUCUAGGUUCUGGGAGGGACUUUCAGCCUCUGUGAUGCUGAGCAUGAUAAGUGGGUCUGGAUGGAUGGGUGUGCAACAGGGGGCCAGUGAAGUCAAAAAACCAGCUUGUCGUCCCUGUGAAAGCAAAGAGAACAGAGAUGGACCAGGCAGCCAGGGCUUCAGAAGCAGGGCAUUUUGAAAAACUGUCACUUCUGCAGAAUAAGGUACAAGAAAACAAGCGAUAGGGGCGGCAUGGGGGUGCAGCAGUUAGCGCUGCUGCCUCCCACCUCUGGGACCUGGGUUUGAGUCUUGGACAUGGAUGUAUGUGUGUGCAGUUUGCAUGUUCUCCCCGUGUCAUUGUGGCGUUUCCUUCGGGUGCCCUGGUUCCUCCCACGGUACACAAACACGCGGAGGCCGCUUGCAGUUACCAAAUUGCCUGUAGGUGAGUGACUGAUGAGUGACUGUGCCCUGCAAUGGGUUGGCACCCCAUCCUGGGUUGUUCCCUGCCAGGGUGUCCUCUACCUUCCUAGUGUAGAUGCUGGUCCCACCCCCUCAUGUGAACCUGACCAGGAUACAUGGUUAGAAAGUGGUUGGAUGGAUUGUAAUAGUUGUUGUUGUUUUUUAAUUCAGAUAUUUUGCUUUAAUGCUGUUCUGUUCGUAAUAUUGUAUAACAUUAAAAGUGAUUCUGAAAAAAGUGUUUUUAUUUUUAUUCCAGACCAAGGCUCACGAGGUUACAGUUCAUUCUCUCGUUUCUUCUCCACAUUCUUUCCGGUAUAUUCUUCUUUUUCGUUCUCCACUGAAUGCUAAUUCCCUCUUUUACAGUGAAUUAAAAAAGGGGACCGUUCCGAGUGUUUAAUAACAUGAGACACGCUGGGCAGCUGGGCGUUGUGAACACCUGAGCACUUUCAUAAAUCACAAUGCUUACGUUCCUAAGAUGCGGCCCAGAGGAAAUUGAACUACCCUUUCAAUUAAGUCAAUUCAAUUAAGCUUCCCUAGACCGUAUCUUGGAAAAGCCAUAUUUUGCCAAGGAAAGUCGCUCAGAGGCAUCGCCUCACACUACAGCAAUUGUGUUCCCCAGUGGCAAUGUAGAGGCUAAGGGUGACUCACAGUAGAGUAGGAGGCUAAAGAGGAGGUCUCUUCAUGGCCUGUACCAUCACUUUUGUGAAAGAGAUAGAGCCAGAAAGAUGGCGACAACAUUACCCUUCCAGAAGUUCUCUGCAUAAGACAACUUCCAUGAAAUGCCUGUUAUAUAAUAAUACUGUGAUGCCGCGGGGCUUAAUUGCACGUGGACCAGCAUGCAUUGCAUCGGUCUGUAAGUAGAGUAAACACUUGUGCAAAUAAUUUCCGUGAUAUGUGGUUAUGUGAGUGAAUGUAGGUGUUUUUGUAUUCUUGUGAAUUGCUGAGUAUCCUGUUGUGUUGUGAUUGUAACCCCCCCCGAUGGUGUUAGACGUGUAUACUGAUGACUACCCCUGCUUGUGCCUCUACUGGGGCCUCUCUGGCGGUUAUUCUAAGUAAACGGUUAAUUGUGACAUUUUUGCCGGAAGUGGGCUGCGAGGUUGUUAAUGAAAUCGAUGACCUCCUCCACGCCCUACACACAAACCUUCUCAGAUGAUGGUGGAGAGGGACAGAGGCUAACCAGGGAAAUCCCAGGAACUGAGUUCGGCACCUUCCUGGGGUAACCUGAUGGGUCUAGUGCUUCCCACUCACCGUGCUACCCAGAAGAGCAAGUCGUGGCUCCGCAGCAGCAGGUACUGGUGACAGAGAGGACCAGGGUGAAGACCACCCUGAAACUUCAGCACGCUCCUGGAGCCAGGGCUCUCCCAUGUGUGCCUGAAAGCCCAGCACAACACCUGGAGUGAUGAGCACCUGCCGCUGGAGGGGGAGGUGCUCCAAGUCCCCCUCAGUCUGACCCCCAACGAGCAGUGGAACUACGCCACCCUGGUGGUGACGCUAGAUCAGGGCUUCAGUCAGCGGCUAUCAGAGGAAGCAAUGAGGGGGGAGCUAGCAGGUCGGCAGAGACUGGACAGGGAAAUAUUGACUGUGCCGCAAGGUCCAGAAGGGUGAGUCAUGGUGCUUUUGCGUGGACUUCUGGAGUCUGAAUGCUGUGACCCGGAUGGACUCAUUCCCGUUGCCCCGGAUCAAUGAUACAAGCAAUGACAUUACUGGGUCGACGUGGGUUAGCUCCUUAGACCUCCGAAAUGGUACUGGCUGGUCAAACUGGUCCCAGAUCCCUGACCUAAGACUGCGUUCACUAUCAGUCAUGGUCUGUGGGACUUCUGGUUGAUGCCGUUUGGGCUCUGCAACGCGCCGGCCACCAUCGAGAGGUUACUGGAGUGAGUGUUGGCCCAUGUCCCCCACAGUGAGUGCCUAAUCUACCUUGAGGACCUACUCGCCCACCCUGCUGAUUCCGAUGGAGCACUUAGUCAUUUGUGCACUGUGUUCACUGUAAUAUGUAAUGCUGACCUGCACCUCCACCCCCAGAAGUGCUCCCUCCCGCGCUGAAAGAGUCCCCAGGUGACUUAGUGAGCGGUGAGGGCAUGGUGGCAGAUCCACAGAAGAUCACUGCAGUCAACCCGGUGAACUUCAGGCCGCCCCAUAAGCCAGAGAUACUGAGGGAGGUAUACGACGCUGAAGGCCACAAUCACCAUAUCACCCCCCUAUAGCGGCCGAGGACGAGGAUGCGGCAGAGGGUGGAGGCAGGCCGGGGGCUCUGGCAGCACCAGCACCCCAUGGCAUCUGUUGGAUUUUGUGGUGGACUUGGGGGUCACCGGGGACGGCUGAUCCGUUUGGCGGGGGGCAAUGUGAUGCACCAUGUCUAAAACACUUGCAGAGGGGCAUGCAUUGUACUGGACUGUACAUAAUGUAAAUUCUUGUAGAAAUAGUGUUUGUGGUAUGUAGUCGUGUCAGUGAAAGUAGGUGUCUUGCAUUCUUGCGAAGUGCCAAGUUUUCCUAAUGUGGUGUGUUUGUGAUUCAGAUGGUGUUCGACGUGUGUACUGAUCACUUCCCCUGUCCACACCGCUGUUUGGACCUCUCCGGCAGAUGUGCUGAGUAAACGGUGUUUAUCGUCA